rnacentral:sRNA from 2 species
GCACCAGCAAAAUCUGGUGUCAGGCGUGAGAACCUGAUUAACAUCUUGGCGACACAUGACGCGCCUAGCGUCUUUUUU